rnacentral:rRNA from 1 species
GAUGAACGCUGGCGGCGUGCCUAAUACAUGCAAGUCGAGCGAACAGACGAGGAGCUUGCUCCUCUGACGUUAGCGGCGGACGGGUGAGUAACACGUGGAUAACCUACCUAUAAGACUGGGAUACUUCGGGAAACCGGAGCUAAUACCGGAUAAUAUAUUGAACCGCCUGGUUCAAUAGUGAAAGACGGUUUUGCUGUCACUUAUAGAUGGAUCCGCGCCGCAUUAGCUAGUUGGUAAGGUAACGGCUUACCAAGGCAACGAUGCGUAGCCGACCUGAGAGGGUGAUCGGCCACACUGGAACUGAGACACGGUCCAGACUCCUACGGGAGGCAGCAGUAGGGAAUCUUCCGCAAUGGGCGAAAGCCUGACGGAGCAACGCCGCGUGAGUGAUGAAGGUCUUCGGAUCGUAAAACUCUGUUAUUAGGGAAGAACAAAUGUGUAAGUAACUAUGCACGUCUUGACGGUACCUAAUCAGAAAGCCACGGCUAACUACGUG